rnacentral:ncRNA from 2 species
CCAAUAGCGUAUAUUAAAGUUGUUGCAGUUAAAAAGCUCGUAGUUGAAUUUUAGGCCUGGCCGGGCGGUCCGUCUUUGGCGAGUACUGUCCUGUGUCGGGUCUUCCUUCUGGUGAACCAGUAUGUCCUUUAUUGGGUGUGCCGGGGAGCCAGGACCAUUACCUUGAAAAAAUUAGAGUGUUUAAAGCGGGCAUUUGCUUGAAUAGAUUAGCAUGGAAUAAUAGAAUAGGACGUUGUGGUUCUAUUUUGUUGGUUUCUAGGACCACCGUAAUGAUUAAUAGGGAUAGUUGGGGGCAUUAGUAUUCAAUUGUCAGAGGUGAAAUUCUUGGAUUUAUUGAAGACUAACUAUUGCGAAAGCAUUUGCCAAGGAUGUUUUCAUUAAUCAAGAACGAAAGUUAGGGGAUCGAAGACGAUCAGAUACCGUCGUAGUCUUAACCAUAAACUAUGCCGACUAGGAAUCGGGCGACGUUAUUUUCAUGACUCGCUCGGCGCCUUAUG